GAGGCGCUGGGGAAGCUCCAUCUGGACCUGGCGCAGGUGGAUCUGUCCGAGGGGGGAGCCCACUGGUACGAGCUGAGCAGCCCCUAGAGCUGGGGCCCCCCCCCGGGCCCCCCCAUCCCCGCUGUGCCUGGGGCAGUGGGAAGGGCGAGGGGGGCCGGGCCCCCAGCUGCUCCUGCCGCCUCCCCACCGCCCCCCGCCUCGCCACUGACCAAAGACGCGCCGGGCGGGGGCCAGGCUGGGCCCCCCCUGUGCCCCCCCAGACUGUUACGUACCUCGUGCCUUUUGCCUACCAAGGAGCCUCCCGGCGCGGGGGGCCGGCCUGGGGUUCUGCCCCCGGCCCCCCCCCCCCGGGAAGACGCUUUUGUUAGAGCCGCUGCCACCGCCGCCGUGCCACCGCGCCACCGCCGCGCCGACCCCCUCGCUGCCUUCCCGGGGGCUGCGUCCCCGCGUCGUGUGUCCCCCCCCCGCGCUAAUAAAGGAGG